CAGGCUGGCACAGGACUCUGUGGACUCUCUCACUUGAAAGAAGGGAAGUGGUCUUUGGGGGAGCGUCUGGCAGGCUGAUCACGCAACAAUAGCAGCAGGGUGGCAGUCAUAUAGUCUGCCCUCCCACUCAGUGCUACCUACCCCUGCCAAACAGAGAGCAUCAUGGGAAGCCCAUCUCACCCUCCUCCAUCCAACAGGCCAGCGUCGCUCCGAUCCAAAGCGCCCACUGCAGCAGGACAAGCCCGUCGCAGAGAGCCAGAUGGCCCAGGAACACAGUGGAGGGCUUGGUGGAGAUGUGUGGGGAGCGAAGCAGCAGCAGAGCGCGCAGGCUCAACAUGCAGCCCACCAGCAGCUGAACGCCAACUCCAUGUGGGAACAACAGCACCGUCACCAGCUUCAGCAGCAAGAACCGCCGCAGCCAUCCUCUGGAGGCCGACAGCACUCCUUGUGUGACCGACCCCGGCCAGCACCAAGAGCUGAUUUCCCAGAGUGACUUUAAAAGUUGGUGUGAUCUGCAGAUAGGAACAGUAUUUUGAAAAUUUUGAAAAGUCCCACUCACACCUCAUUCUGGCAGAUGAACAAUACAUCCCUGUGCUCCGCCCGUUGAAAGGAAAAACACAUUAUUGUUCUUUCUCUUUUUUAUGACUCAGCUGUCAUGUUAACUAAGUAGGGAGAGGCCCUGGCAAGCAACCACCGAUAAAUUCUUUCGUUUUAUAGGUAUCAUUUAACAUGACCGAGGCUGAACCUCAUCAGACCCUCUCUUAUUUGAAUUCCACCACAAAAAUCAUUGUGAUAUUUAUUUUAUUUUAAUAUAAAGGACGACGUAGCAACAUAUAGCAGAAUAUGACACUAAGGACAUUAGUAUAUAAGUAUUUAUGUCAAUCUCCGUAUCCAAAGAUUAUAUGGUAAUUAAUAAAAAUGUAUUUAAACAGAUUAUUUAGUGUUUGUAUGGGACUCACCUGUGAAUUGGCAGGAAGUUGAGAUUGAAAGUCAUUGUCCAGUUCCACCUAAAUGUGGCCCAAUGACUUUUCUCCCCUCAUAAUGUCCCGUCCCGACCUGGCUGUAAGUGAGGGUAUAGUCUCCUCUUCCUACUCUUUAUCAACACCAGUUGCUUAAACUCGACGGGCUCAGUUUACAAAUGUCAUCAUGUCUCGCCUGGAGAUGAGCCAAACUUCAUCUGACUCACACCGGUAGGGAGUCUUACUGAGGCGGUUUAUCCCUGCACCACUUGUAAACCUGUGUGUUUUUCCAUAGAGCACAGACCCAAAAAAAGGAACUCUGUGUGGGAGAGCUGUUGCCAGGGAGCGAGCUGCCGAGAUGCAGUGUAUGCAUUCAUCUGAAUGUACGCAUAGCAUCCUGACCCCUCAGUACUAAGGAACUACUCUCCAAGACCAAUUCACACUGACUAAUCACUGCAAAUCCCUGUUACUACAUGGCUGCAUAUAAACCCUGAAGGUAUGCAAGUUAUAUUGUCAAAACUUGAUAGUCAUUCCAUGAUUUAUAUCCCUGAAUCAACACCGAUAACCUCUCACACAUGACAAUGUUUUGGAUGUUGUUUUAGGGCAGGCAGGCUGAGACACAUCCGUAUCCGUAGCAACUAGGGUGUGACCAACAUAACUACUCUUUGUAAUGGCUGGCAUGUGAUGUGAUUCUCCCUGAAACUGACUAAUAUCUUGUCUCACCCUGGCAUUAUGAUUUGUGUUGCUUAAUUUAUCAGUUUCAGUAUGUCUCUGUACUAUGUACUAUAUAAUAUAUAUGCGGUAAAGUAUCAUAUAAUGUAUUAAUACAGUCUGUCAAUUACAAUGAAUCUGUACCAUUAAUGCUUACUGGUAUCUACUUGUACUUAAACUUUGGUAAGAAGAAGAAUCUUGCCCAAACCUUUUUUCACUGUAUUGUCUCUAAAAUGUAAUAAUUUCAUAUGUCCUGCAACAUCUAAUUAUCUGGCUAC